rnacentral:rRNA from 1 species
UACGGAGGGUGCGAGCGUUGUCCGGAAUCACUGGGCGUAAAGGGCGCGUAGGCGGCGCGGAUAGUCGGCGGUGAAAGCCCGGAGCUCAACUCCGGGUCGGCCGUCGAUACUUCCGGGCUUGAGCACUGUAGAGGCAGAUGGAAUUCCGGGUGUAGCGGUGGAAUGCGCAGAUAUCAGGAGGAACACCAAUAGCGAAGGCAGCUCGCUGGGACGGUACUGACGCUGAGGCGCGAAAGCGUGGGGGAGCGAACAGG